rnacentral:rRNA from 1 species
CACUCACGUUGGAACGACCGAGUGCACCAAACGCUCCGGCGCUGCAGGAUGUGGCUGCGGCCGAUUAGGUAGACGGUGGGGUAACGGCCCACCGUGCCGAUAAUCGGUACGGGUUGUGAGAGCAAGAGCCCGGAGACGGAAUCUGAGACAAGAUUCCGGGCCCUACGGGGCGCAGCAGGCGCGAAACCUUUACACUGCACGACAGUGCGAUAAGGGGACCCCAAGUGCGAGGGCAUACAGUCCUCGCUUUUGUGUACCGUAAGGUGGUACACGAAUAAGAGCUGGGCAAGACCGGUGCCAGCCGCCGCGGUAAUACCGGCAGCUCGAGUGAUGACCGAUUUUAUUGGGCCUAAAGCGUCCGUAGCUGGCCGCGUAGGUUCGUCGGGAAAUCCAUCCGCUCAACGGAUGGGCGUCCGGCGAAAACCACGUGGCUUGGGACCGGAAGGCUCGAGGGGUACGUCCGGGGUAGGAGUGAAAUCCCGUAAUCCUGGACGGACCGCCGAUGGCGAAAGCACCUCGAGAAGACGGAUCCGACAGUGAGGGACGAAAGCUGGGGUCUCGAACCGGAUUAGAUACCCGGGUAGUCCCAGCCGUAAACAAUGCCAAUUAGGUGUGGCACCGACUACGAGUCGGUGCUGUGCCGUAGGGAAGCCGAUAAACAGGCCGCCUGGGAAGUACGUCCGCAAGGAUGAAACUUAAAGGAAUUGGCGGGGGAGCACUACAACCGGAGGAGCCUGCGGUUUAAUUGGACUCAACGCCGGACAUCUCACCAGCAUCGACUGUAGCAAUGAUCAUCAGGUUGAUGACCUCUAUGUUGAGCUACAGAGAGGAGGUGCAUGGCCGCCGUCAGCUCGUACCGUGAGGCGUCCUGUUAAGUCAGGCAACGAGCGAGACCCGCACUCUUAAUUGCCAGCAUCGCGUUCGCGCGGAUGGGUACAUUAGGAGGACUGCCGCUGCUAAAGCGGAGGAAGGAACGGGCAACGGUAGGUCAGUAUGCCCCGAAUGUGCUGGGCUACACGCGGGCUACAAUGGCCGAGACAAUGGGUUCCUACCUCGAAAGAGGAUGGUAAUCUCAGAAACUCGGUCGUAG